rnacentral:tRNA from 1 species
UUUCUGGUUCGAGUCCAGGAUGGCCCACCUGAAAGUAAUGAGUAAUUGCUAAUUCGUAAUUCGUAAUUAACUACGAAUUAAGAAUUAAGAAUUACGAAUUAUAAUCUGGGGGUUUAGCUCAGUUGGUAGAGCGCCUGCUUUGCAAGCAGGAUGUCAGCGGUUCGAGUCCGCUAACCUCCACCUGUAGCGUCAAGCUAACAAAAAAAGUAUUAGGAAAAAGUCAGCAACUAAGAGAGUGAAACUCAUUAGACUGCUGGGUGAGACCUAGCCAGAACCUUGAAAACUGCA